rnacentral:rRNA from 1 species
UAUAAGACUGGGGAUAACUUCGGGGAAACCGGGGCUAAUGCCGGAUAAUAUUUAGAACCGCAUGGUUCUAAAGUGAAAGAUGGUUUUGCUAUCACUUAUAGAUGGACCCGCGCCGUAUUAGCUAGUUGGUGGGGUAAUGGCUUACCAAGGCAACGAUACGUAGCCGACCUGAGAGGGUGAUCGGCCACACUGGAACUGAGACACGGUCCAGACUCCUACGGGAGGCAGCAGUAGGGAAUCUUCCGCAAUGGGCGAAAGCCUGACGGAGCAACGCCGCGUGAGUGAUGAAGGUCUUCGGAUCGUAAAACUCUGUUAUUAGGGAAGAACAAAUGUGUAAGUAACUGUGCACGUCUUGACGGUACCUAAUCAGAAAGCCACGGCUAACUACGUGCCAGCAGCCGCGGUAAUACGUAGGUGGCAAGCGUUAUCCGGAAUUAUUGGGCGUAAAGCGCGCGUAGGCGGUUUCUUAAGUCUGAUGUGAAAGCCCACGGCUCAACCGUGGAGGGUCAUUGGAAACUGGGAAACUUGGGUGCAGAAGAGGAAAGUGGAACUCCAUGUGUAGCGGUGAAAUGCGCAGAGAUAUGGAGGAACACCAGUGGCGAAGGCGACUUUCUGGUCUGUAACUGACGCUGAUGUGCGAAAGCGUGGGGAUCAAACAGGAUUAGAUACCCUGGUAGUCCACGCCGUAAACGAUGAGUGCUAAGUGUUAGGGGGUUUCCGCCCCUUAGUGCUGCAGCUAAGGCAUUAAGCACUCCGCCUGGGGAGUACGACCGCAAGGUUGAAACUCAAAG